GUGCUCACUUUGGCAGCACAUAUCCUAAAAUCCGAAUGAUACAGAGAAGAUUAGCACGGCCCCUGUGCAAGGAUGACAUGCAAAUUCACGAAGCGUUCCAGAUUUUC